AGUGAACGCUGGCGGUAGGCCUAACACAUGCAAGUCGAACGGCAGCACAGUAAGAGCUUGCUCUUACGGGUGGCGAGUGGCGGACGGGUGAGGAAUACAUCGGAAUCUACUUUUUCGUGGGGGAUAACGUAGGGAAACUUACGCUAAUACCGCAUACGACCUACGGGUGAAAGCAGGGGAUCUUCGGACCUUGCGCGAUUGAAUGAGCCGAUGUCGGAUUAGCUAGUUGGCGGGGUAAAGGCCCACCAAGGCGACGAUCCGUAGCUGGUCUGAGAGGAUGAUCAGCCACACUGGAACUUAGACACGGUCCAGACUCCUACGGGAGGGCGCCGUGGGGAAUAUUGGACAAUGGGCGGCAGCCUGAUCCAGCCAUACCGCGUGGGUGAAGAAGGCCUUCGGGUUGUAAAGCCCUUUUGUUGGGAAAGAAAAGCAGCAGGUUAAUACCCCGCUGUUCUGACGGUACCCAAAGAAUAAGCACCGGCUAACUUCGUG
rnacentral:rRNA from 1 species